GAGGGUAUAGCUCAAGUGAUAGAGUGCUUGCUUGGUGUGCAGGGGGUCCUGGGGUCAAUCCCCAGUACCCCCC
rnacentral:tRNA from 1 species